rnacentral:rRNA from 1 species
GAUGAACGCUGGCGGCGUGCUUAACACAUGCAAGUCGAACGGAAAGGCCCAAGCUUGCUUGGGUACUCGAGUGGCGAACGGGUGAGUAACACGUGGGUGAUCUGCCCUGCACUUCGGGAUAAGCCUGGGAAACUGGGUCUAAUACCGGAUAGGACCACAUUUUGGAUGGUGUGGUGGAAAGUUUUUCGGUGUGGGAUGAGCUCGCGGCCUAUCAGCUUGUUGGUGGGGUAAUGGCCUACCAAGGCGUCGACGGGUAGCCGGCCUCAGAGGGUGUACGGCGACAUUGGGGCUGAGAGACGGCCCCGACUCCUACGGGGGGCAGCAGUGGGGAAUAUUGCACAAUGGGCGCAAGCCUGAGGCAGCGACGCCGCGUGGGGGAUGACGGCCUUCGGGUUGUAAACUCCUUUCGCUAGGGACGAAGCGUUUUUGUGACGGUACCUGGAGAAGAAGCACCGGCUAACUACGUG